GACGAACGCUGGCGGCGCGCCUAACACAUGCAAGUCGAGCGAUGAAAUUUUAACCGAUCUCUUCGGAGAGAAGAUAAAAUGGAUUAGCGGCGGACGGGUGAGUAACACGUGAGAAACCUGCCUUUCACAAGGGGAUAGCCUCGGGAAACCGGGAUUAAUACCCUAUGACACAUUUCUUUCGCAUGUAAGAAAUGUUAAAACUCCGGUGGUGAAAGAUGGUCUCGCGCCUGAUUAGCUAGUUGGUGGGGUAACGGCCCACCAAGGCCAUGAUCAGUAACCGGCCUGAGAGGGAGAACGGUCACAUUGGAAAUGAGACACAGUCCAGACUCCUACGGGAGGCAGCGGUGGAUGAUAUUACACGAUAGAGGGAACUCUGAUGCAGCGACACCGCGUGAGCGAUGAAGGCUUUCGAGUAGUAAAGCUCUGUCCUAUGAGAAGAGAAUGACGGUACCAUAGAAGGAAGCCCCGACUAACUACGUG
rnacentral:rRNA from 1 species